rnacentral:rRNA from 1 species
UACGUAGGUGGCAAGCGUUAUCCGGAAUUAUUGGGUUUAAAGGGUGCGCAGGUUGUUUGAUAAGUCAGUGGUGAAAGUCUGUCGCUUAACGGUAGGAUUGCCAUUGAUACUGUUGGACUUGAAUAUGGAUGAGGUAGGCGGAAUGUGUAGUGUAGCGGUGAAAUGCAUAGAUAUUACACAGAACACCGAUUGCGAAGGCAGCUUACUAAUCCAUCAUUGACGCUGAGGCACGAAAGCGUGGGGAUCAAACAGGAUUA